CAAUGCGACUUAUAGCUCAUUUCGUUGUGACAGGUCACAUAAUAUGUACAGUAAUUCAUGAAUCCGUUUAAAGCUACAGGCCUGUUGAGUAUAACACAGCCCCUUGGAACCUAACCUUCCUAAAACCUCUACAUCCUCUUUGCUGAAAUAAACGAUUCAGAAGGACUUUACACCGCAAUAACAAUAUUGUACCAGGGCUGUGUUUUGAGAACGUUGCAUGGAGGGACGUCUCGUCUUCUUGGUCACGUUGCAUGCUGAACCAAAUUAAGAGUCGCAAUGGGACAGGGUGAAGAAGCAAGUACAUGAAGAGCGCCCUCAAGAGUUUGCUCCUCCACAGCAGUACAACUGGAUGAUGCCAUCGAUGAGA